AUGAGGAGAAGGCAUAGCCUGAAGAUUAAGAAACGAAGCAGAAACAUCAGAUGGGCCACUAGGUUGAUUGAAAGUAGGAAGAUUUAAAGACUCACUAAAACUCAUCCAAUCCAAUUUAUCAAUCUCGUACCCUUCAGGAAUAGAUUCAGGAAGUGUCAUAUUCAUAGCGUAAUUUCGUGAAACGGCGUUAGGUGAAUACGGCAUUCUAGCCAAACUUUCAUCGUCUAAUUGACCUGAAAGGCUUUCAGGUCUAUUAAAGUCAUAAAGCUGCGGGUGUUGAUAAACAGAAGGCCUCAAAUCGCUGGCAAUGGUUGCCCUACGAUAGUACAAAGGACUGUCGGGUCCAUAAGGCACACCGAGACGUUGAUCUGACCAUUGAGAAGAUGUAGGAUUUACUGCACCAGAUGCAGAGGCAUUUACCGUUUCCCUCCCAUUACCGGCAGAAACCAGCCUUUGUUGUUGGGCUUGCAACCAACUUGCAGAAAAUGAACCUGAGUUGUUCGCAAGCUGCGCUUGUAGUGCGGCAUGCAACUUUGGAUAACGAAAUUUGUCAAUGGAAUCUGCCUGAGGUAAAGAAAUAACAGGUUUAGAAGCUAAAUUUGUUGUGCUUACCGAAACAUUUGAAAGAGAAGGAUUGGGUAAAGCCGUUGUUGAACGACGUCUUCUUCGAGGUUGUGGAUUCCUAUGGAUUUUCUGUUGGUGACGAAGUAGAAGAUCACGCCUCGAAAACUGUCGACCACAACCUGUAGGUAAACCAUCAAUCUCACUACAAGUAAAAGGCUUUUCGUUGGUAUGAGAUCUGAUAUGUCGUUUAAGAUGCUCCAAUCGAGCAAAAGCGCGUGUACAUGUUUCACAAACAUAUUGUUUAACUUUCUGGGGUGGGGCAUUAGGGUCCUUUUUAGCAGCGGUAGAAGAAGCCACAGGUUUUGAAUUAGAAGUAACAGAGCUGGGUGUAUUAGCAUUAGAGGUACCAGAAUCGGAAUUAAUAGACAUCAAGUUUUCCGAAACUUUUGAUUCGGAUAAAGUAUUAGCUUUCGAGGCUAUCGGUGCUAAAGACUCACGCGUCAUGAUAAAACAAGUUUUCAAAUUAAACAAUUAUUUUCUUAUUUUUCAAAAGAAGAAUAUGUUGUUAAAAUAAAAGAUAUGAAGGGAAAUAAAGCUUGAAAGUGAUUGCAAUCAGGAUUCAAAAAGACUAAAAACGAAAACCGCAAAAUAAUUUUCGAAA